rnacentral:rRNA from 1 species
UGGGCACUCUAAGGAGACUGCCGGUGAACAAACCGGAGGAAGGUGGGGAUGACGUCAAGUCAUCAUCGGCCCUUACGGCCUGGGCUACACACGUGCUAACAAUGGUCGGUACAAAGGGUUGCCAAGCCGCGAGGUGGAGCUAAUCCCAUAAAACCGAUCGUAGUCCGGAUCGCAGUCUGCAACUCGACUGCGUGAAGUCGGAAUCGCUAGUAAUCGUGAAUCAGAAUGUCACGGUGAAUACGUUCCCGGGCCUU